rnacentral:lncRNA from 1 species
GAGCGCGCCAAAGAAGUCUGACGACGCUCAGACUCUGGAUUGAUAUUUUCAGUUUUCUCUCAGCCAACAAGACAGCUUACCAUGUCAUCAGAGCAAGAACCUCCGUCAGCGAUAUUUGACAGAGUUUUCAAUACAAUUUCAAGAGCCAGACGAGAGCUUUCAAAUAACAAUAAUAAUGACCUACUUUCUUCAACUAGACGCCUUUUCCGGCGUCAGGUGCAUCAACUUCGCAGAACACCCUGGAGGCAGGAAAAUGCUGUCUGACA